rnacentral:lncRNA from 1 species
CUGCUAUUUGCACCAAAAAAUCUCAUUUCCUUACUAUUUCCAUAUAAAAAAUGUUAAGCUAUGCAUGUGCAGAAUUUCCCGCAGAAAGAUGUACCUAAAAAAAUGCAUGUUCAUGAACUUAGGUGCGAUAUUUUUCUUUAGGGAUCGUACACAACAACAAAACGCACUCAGGGAAUUAACUCGUACUCCCUCUGUUCUUAAAUAGAAGUCUUUUAAAAGAUUGCACUAUGACCUACGUACGGAGCAAAAUAGAUGAAUCUACAUUCUAAAGUAUGUCUAUAUGCAUUCAUAUAUAAUCGAUUAAUGACACCUUUAGAAAAACUUAUAUUUAGAAACGAAGGGAGUAUACUUAAUGCCUUCCCAGUCCCCACAAAUGAUAAAAACCGUCUAUUAGUAUCUUCUAGCUAGUCGACGGAAAUAUAUUAUUUUUUGCUGCACACGAAGGGCCAAAGCACCCAUGUAGCUAACUAUCGGUGGCUCCCAUAAAGGCACAUGAGAGAGAAGUGUGGAUCCACCUUUGUUUGGUGGGAAUGAGAGGGUUGAGGAACCGGAUUGGCUCAUUGCGUCCAUUUGGACGAACGAUAGGAGUCCUUGUUAUAGGGGUGUUUGGUCACAGAACUUCAUUCCAAGAAAGAUAGUGUUGAGUACCAGAUAGAUCAAGCUUGAAUUUUUUAUUACACUUAGUUGCAUAUUUGUUAAGGUCUCAAAGAUUGAGAUGCAAAAUACGCGCUGCAGGAAGUUGCCUCGCUCCCUGUGAUGUUCCCUUGGUGAGGCAUGCCACCCAAUACAAGGCGCAUUUGUUGCAUCCAAAGCAUCAAUUGCUCAAAAGAUGUAGGCUACAAGCAUGCAAACAUUCUGCAAAGGUAGUGUGAUGCCUGGUACCAUAGAUCAGGAGACGAGACACGUUGCAUCUCACAUGAACAUGCGUGUCUGGUACUAGAAGAAAAUUAGACUGUAGCUCUGGAUUUAAAAAAAAAGGAGGAACAAAGACUGUAGCUCUGGAUAUCAUGGCUUUCCAAUUGUUCAGAUCUUACAUCGAUGUAUGGAGUAUCAGAGACAAAUUCUUAUAUAUAUAUGUACAAAGACUGUAGCUCUAGGUAUAGGUAAAAUGUUUGAGGCACCUAGGUGUCCAGGCACCUAGACACCAUGCAACUAUUGCCAUAUAUGGUUGAUUCCUUUCCAAAUAUUAGUGUGUGAUAUACUUGUCAUUAAAUGCAUAAUACUAUGUGAUUUAUUUUCAUAUAUGAUGCGACGUCUUAAUUUCAUUGUAAAUAUUUAUUUAUGAUGUAUAAACUAUAAUACUUUGUGUACAUUUUCUUAUUUUUGUCUUGUCUUUGUAGCUGGAAUACAAUGCGCGCACACAUAUGUUACACUCAUCUUUAUUUUUGGUCAUUAAAAUAAAAAUGCGUACGUACAUUUACAUAUUUUGAUGUGAAAUUUUAUGUACAUACCUAGAAAUAUAUAUAUCCCGACUUAAAAUUUAUACCCGUAAAUGAACAUAUCCGGCAUGGUAUUUAUGUGUACAUACCUAUAGAUAUUCAUAUACCCAUGAAUUUAUAUGUAUAUACCCAUAAGUGCACAUACUCUUAAAUAUAGAUACCCCAAUAUAAAUUUUAUGUGAUAGAUAUAUGUAACCUAAUGUGAAACUUAUAUGUGCAUACCCCGAUGUGAAAUUUAUGGAUACAUACCCAUAAAUGUAUGUAUUCCAACGUUAAAUUUAUGGGUAUAUACCUGGACAAAAAACUUGGGUGUACAUUUCCUGACUUGAAAUAUAUGUGUACAUACCCCGACGUAAAUUUAUGUGUGUAUACCUAAUAGAGAUGUAUCCGAAGUAUAAUACUCGAGAAAGAUAAUAAUUAAAUUAUACAUCUAUAUGUAUGUGUGUGAAAACAAAAUAUUCUGCCAUAAAUGGUUGCCAUGCAUGCAUGAUUACCAUACUCAUUAACUAAUAUCAUAAAUAAUCACAUUAAUGAUUUACCAUAUCAACACCGACUUCAUACAUCAACUCGCCAUCUAACGGCUACGAGAUAAGGUGCCCAGGCACCUAGGUGUCCCAAACGGACGUCCUAUAUAUAUAAGGUAAUUAUCAAAGUCCUCUAAUACUUGGAUACAUAUGCUUUGCCAAGAUUCAUUGAGUAUAUUGGUAUCUUUUUGGCAAUUGUCAGUAUAGGAAGGGUGGAAUGGCUCAUAGGUGCAUGUCCUCAAUGGAUGGACAGUAAACUUUACAACACGUAACAAUUUGAGUUUUAUAUGUUCUUGCAACUUUUCAAACUUCUGGUCAUCUGGUGUCAUAGGGAAGAUACAUGUUUUAUGAAGAAGCAACUUUUGUAGGGGCUAGACUUUCUUUUACAGCGCGAGAAACUCAAUUUUUGAUGAAAUUUUGCAAGAGCUCAAACAUUUACAUAUGCAAUGUGUGAAGAAAAUAGGACUCAAAGCAUUUAUAUAUGAAACAUGUAUUGGUCAUGAUGGCUGCAAAGAUGUUUUAUGGUGUUUGAUAAGAGAUUUAUUUUUCUUUCCACUUGCAUCCUUGGUCUUUGCCUGAGCAGCUGGAGGGUCGGGAGAUGGUUAAGGCUGCACACAUGUAGAAAGGUGACCAGCGAGUUGCUUCACGUUAGUGUUUUGUCACCUUAUUUCAGUUUUUUCUAGAUCUUUGGGACUACUGUACUGGUACAUUAUAAAAUCCUUCUGUAUAUUGGCUGGGUGCAUCCUCAAUUGUGGAGAUCAGAGGUUGAGCUACUGCACAGUUGUAUUAACUUUUCAUGAUCAUAAAAUCGCUGUGAAGCUUUCCAUCUAAAUGAAAUAAUUAAACGCGCGGUCAGGAUGCUUGAACAAGAACACUGCUCUAUGAACCUAAAUUUCUUUGCUCCUUUACUGUUUGCAUAUAAAAAGUUUAAAGUCAGGUAGGUGCAAAAUUUCAGGCAAAAGGAUGUACGUGCAAAUUUAAUGUGUGUCUAUAAAGUUAGGUGCGACAUGAUUUUACGUUAGGGCUCACAUACACAAGAACAAAAUGCAUCUAGGGAAGUAACUCCCUCCAAGGGAA